rnacentral:rRNA from 1 species
UACGGAGGGUGCAAGCGUUGUCCGGAAUCACUGGGCGUAAAGGGCGCGUAGGCGGCUCAUGAAGGCUGUGGUGAAAGUCCGGGGCUCAACCUCGGAUCGGCCGUGGCGACUCGUGGGCUGGAGCACUGUAGAGGCAGGUGGAAUUCCGGGUGUAGCGGUGGAAUGCGUAGAGAUCCGGAAGAACACCAGUGGCGAAGGUGGCCUGGCUGGGCAGUGGCUGACGCU